UCAAGAAUACAUUUAAACUGG
rnacentral:piRNA from 1 species